CGUGGCGAACGGUUCGCGACAUCUCUACUCAUCAUUGCCACCAUCACAUCUUAUUCCCACCAGUAUCCACCACCUGCCUGCCAUUUUUUUCCUCACACUGCACCCCCUCCAUAUUAUUCUGAGCACAGUGUCUCCCUCUCACAUUCCAACACAUUGCUCUCAUUCCUUCACCUCAACUCAACCUUCAUUGUAGACCAACUAUGCUUCUCCUCUAUCGAUAGUCCCCUGUUUACCCGCACCCUCCAUUCGUCCAUCAUAUUCCCAUAAAUCCCAGCACCCUCGCUCCACCCAUCAAAUUCCAAUAAAUUUCAGCACCCUCGCUCCACCCAUCAUAUUCCCAUAAAUUCCAG